rnacentral:rRNA from 1 species
ACGGAAGGCAGCAGUGGGGAAUAUUGCACAAUGGGGGAAACCAUGAUGCAGCGACGCCGCGUGAGUGAAGAAGUUAUUCGUAAUGUAAAGCUCUAUCAGCAGGGAAGAAAAUGACGGUACCUGACUAAGAAGCCCCGGCUAACUACGUGCCAGCAGCCGCGGUAAUACGUAGGGGGCAAGCGUUAUCCGGAUUUACUGGGUGUAAAGGGAGCGUAGACGGUCUGGCAAGUCUGAUGUGAAAGGCAGGGGCUCAACUCCUGGACUGCAUUGGAAACUGUCAGUCUUGAGUGUCGGAGAGGUAAGCGGAAUUCCUAGUGUAGCGGUGAAAUGCGUAGAUAUUAGGAGGAACACCAGUGGCGAAGGCGGCUUACUGGACGAUAACUGACGUUGAGGCUCGAAAGCGUGGGGAGCAAACAGGAUUAGAUACCCUGGUA